rnacentral:sRNA from 1 species
CGGAUUCGUGGGGUCCAUUCCUCUCCAAUGGUAGAUCCGUUAUGUUUUGGAGGCUUUAAAAAGUUGUUUACCAAUCAUACAAAUUACCACAUGAUAUUUUUCCGUGUUUUGUCUUCGUUCAUACGUUUCUGACAAUUACUUUUCAAUGACAAAAAAAGUAGGUUCAGAUUUUUCUU